CCUACGGGAGGCAGCAGUGAGGAAUAUUGGUCAAUGGUCGGGAGACUGAACCAGCCAAGCCGCGUGAGGGAGGAAGGUACAGAGUAUCGUAAACCUCUUUUGUCAGGGAACAAAGGCGGGGACGUGUCCCCGGAUGCGUGUACCUGAAGAAAAAGCAUCGGCUAACUCCGUGCCAGCAGCCGCGGUAAUACGGAGGAUGCGAGCGUUAGCCGGAUUUAUUGGGUUUAAAGGGUGCGCAGGCGGUCUGUUAAGUCAGCGGUCAAAGCCCGGGCCUCAACCCCGGCCCGCCGUUGAAACUGGCAGUCUCGAGUUGGAGAGAAGUAUGCGGAAUGCGCGGUGUAGCGGUGAAAUGCAGAGAUAUCGCGCAGAACUCCGAUUGCGAAGGCAGCAUGCCGGCUCCACACUGACGCUGAGGCACGAAAGCGUGGGUAUCGAACAGGAUUAGAUACCCUUGUAGUC
rnacentral:rRNA from 1 species